rnacentral:rRNA from 1 species
ACCGAUCGGUGGAGUGUCGAGAAUGGUGAAUUUAGCGGUCAUAUAAGUAAUCAAUGAUAUGAAAUGAGUCAUUUAGCAUGUAAGAAGCCGUUGGGGAUUCCCAUAGCUAGUCACCGAUUGGAUAAUAGAGAAUCAGAGAUUUGAGUCCACAGGUAAAAACCGAAAUCAGAACUAAAUGAACUGAAACAUCUCAGUAAUUUAAGGAAUGGAAAUGAACCCAGAUUUAUCGAGUAGUGGUGAACGAAAGAUAAGGAGUCGAAGAAGUAAUAUGCGAUAGAGAAAACGUGUAUGAAGAAGGUGAAACUAUCACUAAGACUAAAUACUGUGACUAAGCGAAAUAGUACCGUGAGGGAAUAGAAGAAAUCAGCGUCUUUAUGAGCAUAAUGAAAGUCAAUACGUCUUAAAUUAGCACCUCUUGUAUAAUGGGUUAGCAAGUAUAUAUCAAUAGCGAGAUCAUCGUCGUAGAGAAAUCGAAAUAGCACAUAUUAGCAGUUAUUGAUAUAUGACCCGAAAGUCUAUGAUCUUAUCAUGAUCAGGUGUGAACGACCGAACUGGUUACUGUUGCAAUAGUAUCAGAUGAAUUGUGAUAAGAAGUGAAAUAUCAACCAUAUAGACAGCUAGCUGGUUUACCACGAAAUAUAUGUCAGUAUAGCCGAAUCGUUCGAAUUUUGGAUAAGGUACAGCACUUAACACCGUUCUAGAUCGUCCGAUCUAAGUGGGGGAAUGUCAAAUUCUUAUCACCGGUGUUUAAUCUCGGAACUUAUAAUUCAAUUCCUAUGGAAUAGUCGAUUCGAGUCAGAUUAUCCGCGAUAAGGUGGGUAAUCGACAGGGAAACAGCCCAACACAAGUCUUAAGGUCCCCAAUACAAUUUUCAGUGAACAUCCGAUAAUGCGGGUACGAUACAAUUAGUUAGUGGGUUUGAUAGUAACCAUCUUUUAAUAAUAGUGUAACAACUUACUGAUCCAGCCGUAUCCGCAUUCUCACCGAUUCAACGGGUCUCAAAAAUUGAACCGAUAACUUGUAGCAGUCAUAAUCACGACUGUUGAUAGUGGUACAUUUAAUGAACAUGUAAUUAAAUCGAGAAUGCUAACAUGAGUAACGAAAAUGAGAUCGAAUUCUCAUCAUCUUAUGCUUAAGGUUUUACAAUAAAAUCGGUCCUUAAGUCUGCAAAAGUCCGUUUGGAUGCGACGAUAGGUGAACUCAGUCACAUAAUCUGUAAAGAUGUAAAUGUCUGUGAUUCCGGAAAACACGAAACCGUAAUGGAAACCGACACAGGUAAGCAAGUAGAAAAUAUGAAGAUGAAUGGGUUAAUGACUACAAAUGAACUCGGCAAAAACAAUUCCCUACAUUCGUCAAGGAAUGCCCCUUAGUGCGAUUCGUCGUAUUUGGGGGCCUCAGAAAAUAAGAUAGCACAACUGUUUACUAAAAACACAGCACGGUGCAAAAACAGAAGUUUUGGUAUACCGUGUGAACUCUGCUCAAUUGUAGUGAAUAAUAGGAAGCAUUCUCGGGUGCGGCCUUUAAUAGCUACACAAUAGCGGUCUUAACGUGAGGAUCAUAAUGUAGCUAAACGCCUUGUCCGCUAAAUACGGUCCUGCAUGAAUGACGUAAUGAUGCUAUAACUGUAUCUGUAGUCAGCCCAGUGAAAUUGGAAUCGCGGUGAAGAUACCGUGUACCUCUAAGAGGACAGAAAGACCCUAUGCAACUUUACUAUGGUCGGAAAGAUUGAACUAAUCCGCAAAAUAUUCAGUGGCACCUCGGUGUCGAUUAUUAGGUAUAAGAUUCUUAAAUAAUGAGAAACCUAUUAUCUUUGUGAUUAGUUCUAAGCUCAAAUCUUGAGAAUGAUUAUUCUUCUCAACACAUCAGUCGCGAAAUCGGCAGAUGUAUCGGGCGACAAUCUCCGACUGAUAGUUUGUGUGGGGCGCACAUUUCAGCAAAAGUAUCUGAAUAUGCCCAGUUGAUGAUUACCUUUAAGGUCCUAAAUAAUAUGAGAGAAAUGUAUAUUUCUCGACCAUCGAAUAUAUCCUCCCCGGAUUACAUGAGAGAAAAGUCUAGGUGUGAUGCCGUUGAUCUAGAAAUCAAUCGAGAUAAGAAUCUCGGGCAAGUGUAAUAGCAUAAUCACAUCGAAAUUGUAACAUUCACAAAUGGAACAAGUACGUAAGUAUGGUAUAGUGAACAAUUACAUCCGGUAGAACGGUGUAAUGAUAACGGAUCAAAGUUACGCUAGGGAUAACAGGCUGAUAUGGUGAAAGAGUACAUAUUGUAAACCAUGUUUGGCACCUCGAUGUCGACUCUACUUAUCCUACAGGUGCAGCAGCUUGUAAGGGUUAGACUGUUCGUCUAGUAACAAGUAACGUGAGUUGGGUUAAAUACGGCGUGAGCCAGUAUGGUUCUUAUCCUUUAGAGGUAGAUAUCGAAUAGAAUUCUGCACUUAGUACGAAAGGAUUAGUGUGGGCCAAUCAAUGGUGUAUCUAUUGGCUAAUCCUUGUCAACCUCAUUUGGUUCGAUGAUGCCACCGUAGAGUAGCUAAAUUGGUGAAAGGUAAAAACCAAACGAAUAACGUUUGAACCAGUUUCUACAGCAGAUAUCAAUACCCGGUCAGAGACUAUGACCUUUUAACUAUCCAUCGCAUGAUUAGAUAGUUUAAUUUAAUAACGCUAAAUGACUUCUUAUCCACCCGCUGGGUUCGCUUA